rnacentral:sRNA from 1 species
AGAGUCUUUAAUUUAGUCCCGUGAGGCUGAUAAGAUUAGCGAAUUUAAUAAAAAAUUUGUGAAGGUCUAUUCGUCUAGGGAUGAAUGGACCUUUUUUGCA